UUUAUUUCUUCUUUUCCCUUUUUACAAUUCAACAUUAUAAGACUAUAAAGGAAAUUAUGUUCGACUUCUAGAAUAGGAAUAGUGCUUUUUGUCUUUUCUUCUUUUUGAAAGAUUUAUUUGGUGGCGCAUCGAUUAAUCAGGCAAAAGUAAACCCUUGAUGACAUCCAAUUUAGCUUGUCUUGUUUCCACUUCUUUUUUUGAAUGCUGAAUCUUAUCUGAAGGCAUCUUUGACGACCGUGAAGAGCAAUUUUGUUGAAGUACAAAUGGAGGAUGUUCUGCAAAUGCAUUCCAUUGAUAGAAAAGCAAAAUCAUGUUCUGAACUCUGUCCUCACCUUUUUUUCCUUAAAUUUAUAAAAUCACUCUAUUUUCCUCAUUAAUUUUCUGUCACACUCUAUUUAGUUGCUGAUGGGACCAAGUAAAUAAUCAUAAAUCUUACAAGGUGCAAAUCACAUGCCAUGAAGAGAAUAUUGGGUUUGUAUUAUUUAGGACAAUUUGAUAUCUGAUAUCUGGAUAUUUAUUGUUGGUGAAAAGCAUUCAUGAUUCUAGGACAAUCAGUGACUUUUACCUCGAAACAUAAGUUCUGAUUCUUGUGCAGAAAAUGCACUCUGACACAUUUUUCAAUUUUCAUGCUAUGUUCAGUAUACAAAGGGCAAAACUAUAAACUGGGGGCAUCAUUAGCCAAAAUAAAGAUUAAGAUCACAUUUCGAAGACUGGUCAUAGUUUCAAGUCAUGCAUUUUAAUAAAGGUUUCCCAGGUACUGAUGCUCCUUGGAACUGAGGGCAGAAGACAUCAGGAUGCAGGCCCAUAUAUUCUGCCAAUUAGUAAUUCAAUUUUGCUCAGGUCUCUAAAAAUAUUUCUAUUGCCUAUUUCUGAUGCGUUGCAUUGCAACAUUCUUGGACUUGCAUGUUGAAAAGUUCUUAUUUAAACAAAAACAAUUCCAAACCUAGUAUUUCCUUAUAACGGUUCUGUUAUAUGCCAGGAUGCUACAAAACCUGCAAUGGCAUAUUUUUUAGCUGUAGGGAAUGUGCCUGUAGGGCUGUGUACGAAAUGUAUAUCAUGCAUAUAUUUUGUAAUAGGCUAAGCUUCCGAAUUGCUAGGUCAAUUUUCCAGUUUUAGGAAGCUCCUAGUGAACGAGUUACAACUAUACAUAUUAUAUGAGGAUGCAGUUAUCCUAUACCAUAAGAUAUUCAGAAACAUUUUAGACUAUGCAGUCAAGUUCAUCCUAUUCUUAUUAAUAAAAUAGAAUUCUAAGUUUUUCUAA